rnacentral:pre_miRNA from 1 species
UAGACAGUUCCAUGCUUCCUUGCAUUCGAUAGUAAAUCUUUUUCGCAAGAAGAAAAUAAAUCAACAUAUGGAAUGUAAAGAAGUAUGGAGCAAUCUG